rnacentral:piRNA from 1 species
UUACAGGAUUGUCCUACGGCAGCUUGC